AGAAUCAACGCUGGCGGCGUGCCUAACACAUGCAAGUCGCACGAGAAAGGGGAGCAAUCCCUGAGUACAGUGGCGCACGGGUGAGUAACACGUGAAUAAUCUACCUCCGAGUGGGGAAUAACUGAGAGAAAUCUUAGCUAAUACCGCAUAACACUUAAGAGUCAAAGCAGCAAUGCGCUUGGAGAGGAGUUCGCGGCCGAUUAGUUAGUUGGCGGGUAAUGGCCCACAAGACGAUGAUCGGUA
rnacentral:rRNA from 1 species